UACGUAGGGGGCAAGCGUUGUCCGGAAUCAUUGGGCGUAAAGCGAGCGUAGGCGGCCCGAUAAGUCUGCUGUGAAAAGUCAACGGCUCAACCGUUGAAAAGCCGGUGGAUACUGUCGGGCUAGAGUUCGGGAAGAGGCAAGUGGAAAUUCCUGGUGUAGCGGUGGGAAUGCGCAGAUAUCAGGAGGAACACCCAUAGCGAAAGGCAGCUUGCUGGGACGAUACUGACGCUAAAGGGCUCGAAAAGCGUGGGGAGCGAACAGG
rnacentral:rRNA from 1 species